rnacentral:ncRNA from 1 species
GGAGAGGCUUAGAAGUUCUUCUAUUUCAUGCACAGACAGCAAUGCCCGGACAUGGAUGUACGGGCAAGACGCAAUCGAGCCUGGAUGGUGAGUUGCGUCGUUUGCGUGCGUAACCUGUUAUUGGAUUGAAAUAGUUAGAACUUCUUAGCUUCGUAGU